rnacentral:rRNA from 1 species
AUGGAAGAAGAAAUUGAUAAAACUGUGAGCUCACUGGAUGAAAAAGAUGAGGAGGAGAGCAAAGGACAAAAGGAGGAAGAGCGGAUUGAUCACCCAUGCCCACCAUCUAAUGAGAGUAACUCUUCAACUCAUACAUUGUUUAAUUUCCCUUCGUGCUUACCGAAGGAUGAUUGCUAUGAUGAUUGUUAUGAUUAUGUUGAUUCUCUUGAAAUACCCCUUUCUGAUGAUGCUUGCUAUGCUUGUGGCCAUAAUGCCAAUAUGAAUGAUGUUUAUGGAGAUGAACUUUUUAUAGUUCCUUAUGUUAAACAUGAAAUUGGUUCUAUUGCACCCACACAUGAUAGUCCUAUUAUCUUUUUGAAUUCUCCCGACUACACAAUAUUAGAGAAGUUUGUGCUUAUUAAGGAUUAUGUUGAUGGGUUGCAUUUUACCGUUGCACAUGAUGAUUUUGAUAGAUAUAAUACGAAUGUGCUUGCUGCUCCAACUUGCAAUUAUUAUAAGAGAGGAACCAUAUCUCCACCUCUCUAUGUUUCCAACACAAUAGAAUUGCAAGAAACUGCUUAUACUAUGCAUUGGCCUUUACUUGGUGUGCAUGAAUUGUUCUUUUAUGAUGCCGAUGCAUAG